AUCCUUGUUUCCUAAAUCUUUUACAUAGAUUUGCCUCAAACUCCUCCCAAGGACUCACUUUUCCCUUAAUCCAGUUAUGAUACCCAUCAGCUUUGUCAACCAAAUACAAACUAACUAUUUCAAUCCUCUUUUCCUUAGGACCUUCAUAAACUUCAAAGGGUAAAUUACUAUUUAGUUCCUAUAUUUUGAAAAUACACUAUUUAGUCUCUGUAUUUUGUUUCUGUUAACCUAUUUAGUCUCUCAAUUAAUUUUUUCGUUAGUCAAUUCUCG
rnacentral:misc_RNA from 1 species